UCGAGUGCCUUUCGAGCGCAAUUCCAAAAGGGUGAAACGACUGCGGCAUGAUUAUGCAGAGAGAGUUUUACAAAUGGAUGGAGAGGAGAUCCAGCAUGAGUUCAUUUACGUAGAUGAGGCUGGGUUCAACCUGACGAGAACACGAAGGAGGGGAAGAAACAUCAUUGGCCACAGGGCUAUAAUCAAUGUCCCAGGGCAACGUGGGGAAGAGUUUUUCUCGGCAUGACGGUGGAAGGUAUAUGAUCUCCGUCUCCAGGCUGAGGUACCCCUCAUCCAAGCCAUGGAGGAGGCCUGUGACCAGAUGGAGGUAGCAGCAAUGCAAGGAUGGAUUCAUCAUUCAAGACGUUUCUUUCCAAGGUGUCUUGCUAAUGACAACAUUGCCUGCGAUGUUGAUGAAAUUC